AUUGAACGCUGGCGGCAUGCUUUACACAUGCAAGUCGAACGGCAGCACGGGAGCAAUCCUGGUGGCGAGUGGCGAACGGGUGAGUAAUGCAUCGGAACGUAUCUUUGAGUGGGGGAUAACGCACCGAAAGGUGUGCUAAUACCGCAUACGCCCCGAGGGGGAAAGCAGGGGAUCGCAAGACCUUGCGCUGAAAGAGCGGCCGAUGUCCGAUUAGCUAGUUGGUGGGUAAAGGCCUACCAAGGCGACGAUCGGUAGCUGGUCUGAGAGGAUGAUCAGCCACACUGGGACUGAGACACGGCCCAGACUCCUACGGGAGGCAGCAGUGGGGAAUUUUGGACAAUGGGGGCAACCCUGAUCCAGCCAUGCCGCGUGAGUGAAGAAGGCC
rnacentral:rRNA from 1 species